GUUGGAAAAUAUCAGUGAGGUGAGGCUUGGGUAACAAAAAUGUCAAGCCUCUGAGAGGAGUCCAGGGUAUAAAAACAGGCGUGGGCCUGUUUCCAAAACCCUGACCAUCCUCAUGUCUGUCCCUCUUUCCUGCUGCUGAGGGUGGGAGGAGCCUGGAGCAGAGUGUGACAAGAUGUCAUCAGGCUCUGGAGUCCAGGCGACUUUCUGAGAUUCUCUAGUUUGACUCAUCCACAGAUGACAAAAGUAAGGCUUAAAGAAAAGAGAUUUCAUGACCAAAGUCGCAUGACCAAUGUAUGUGUGGGUGAGCAUGUAGUGGCCAGGGUGGUGGAAGAAUAGAUAGAAAUCCCUGGGCUGGGCGAGGUGGCUCACGCCUGUAAUCCCAGCACUUUGGGAGACCGAGGCGGGUGGAUCACCUGAGGUCAGGAGUUUGGGACCAGCCUGGCCAACAUGGCAAAACCCUGUCUCUACUAAAAAAAAAAAAAAAAAAAAGACAAAGUUUGGAAAAUUAAACCCCCAGGGAAAUGGAAACUACAUCUGCUGCUCACCCAC
rnacentral:lncRNA from 1 species